rnacentral:misc_RNA from 1 species
GAUGAAGAACGUAGCGAAGUGCGAUAAGUAAUGUGAAUUGCAGAAUUCAGUGAAUCAUCGAGUCUUUGAACGCACAUUGCGCCCCCUGGUAUUCCGGGGGGCAUGCCUGUCCGAGCGUCAUUGCCGCCCUCAAGCACGGCUUGUGUGUUGGGCCCCCGCCCCCCGGCUUCGGGGGGCGGGCCCGAAAGGCAGCGGCGGCACCGCGUCCGGUCCUCGAGCGUAUGGGGCUUCGUCACCCGCUCUGUAGGCCCGGCCGGCGCCCGCCGGCGACCCCAAUCAAUCUUUCCAGGUUGACCUCGGAUCAGGUAGGGAUACCCGCUGAACUUAAGCAUAUCAAUAAGCGGAGGA